rnacentral:lncRNA from 1 species
AGGGGAAACAACGAAAGAGAACAAGAUUUCCUAAUGUUGUGCACCAAUUAAGGACGAUAUACUACUACUCCGUUGAAAUGUAGAUAGAAAUUCAGAUUAAUUGAAACAAAAGAAAAAAGAGCGCGAAAGAGAGAGAUUGAGAUAUUGAGAGAAGGAAGAAAGUUGAAGAAAAUAUACCUCCGGUUGCAAGGUUAUUCUCGGUCUGAAGAACCGCGAUACUCUGCAUCUUGGACGCCAUCGUACCUUCUCUUCUAUCUAUCUCCCUGAGAUUAGCUUUCCUUUUUCAGUUCAGAAACUUCUACUGCGGAUUCCGUCUGUAAGUAGUAGAGAGCUACAUUAGAAGAUGUGGCUGGAAUUUGAUGAUGGGGAGGAGAGGGAAAGACAAGUAAAGAGGGGCAGCCAAACAAACGGCUUCCAGAGUCCAAAUCCCAGCUACCAAAGAAAUCACAAACCAGUCUCCUAAAAGCAAUGAAAAAAAUGCUUGCACAACAAAACACAAGAACCAUUAGCAUCAAACAAGUUUUUACAGAGGAGGAGAAAAACAUGAAUACAGAGCAACCUGAAGAGAAGACCCGACCUCACUGGAGAGAAAGAAGAAAGCACAAGAUCUGCAACCAACAGUGAAGAUGGCACGUCCUUGGGCGGUAACAAGCCCGUGGAUGAGAAAAAAAAGAGAAAACUGCACGUCAGUGGACAAGGGACAAAAGAAAUACGAACUUUAGCCAAAAAAAAAAAAACAAAAAAAACAAAAAGAGGGGCAGACCAGAGGUAACCCGAAGAGAAGAUCUGACCUCACCGGAGAUGAAGAAGAAAGCCUAUUACAACAAAACAAAGGAGGAGGUCAACAAAAUUUUGUACCAGGUUCCAGAGGAUGCGGAUAAGUGAUAGAGCAACAUUAUCCCAAAAAAAACCAAAAAAAGAAAGAAAGAGAAUGUAAUGGGAGAGAGAAUGCAGCGGGAAGAGAGCAAAUGCAGCAGAAGAUCAGAAAGACGGAAGCACGGGCACAUGGGACACUGGCAGGCGAGGCCAGAUGGGAAAACUAACGCGCGAUGCGCGAACAACAUGAUGAUUCCAAUCCACAUGCCGGGCACGUGAGAGGACGACGAAAAUUCUGGCUGAAUGGAGUUGCCAUGUUAUCUACUUAUGUUGACUAGGAGGCAAUAACGCGCUUCGCGCGAUAGUAAUGUAAAAUGCCCAUUCCAUUUCUGAAGUAAGAAAAAUAACAUUUCAUUUAGAAAUGUACAUUUUUUAGUAUAUAUAUACCAUGAGUCUGAAGGUUUGUUGAUAUUUCUUGGCUACAAACUUUCAUGGAAGUUGCUAAAUUUCUAAAUUUAAUGGAAGUGCUUUGGAACCUCCAAAGCCUGAAUUUCUAAAUUUUGCUAAACUUCCAAAGUCUGAAAUGCAAAUUUAAAUUUCUAAAUUUUUAAUAGGAACUUCCAAACUCUGAAGUUUUGUUAAUGCAAAUUUAAUGGAGCAUUUUUCUAAAUUUAAUAUAUACCAGCCAUUUGUUUUUUGUAACCAAAGGUAGGAUCAACUUUAUUGCUAAACAUCAAAGUUUAAUAAGUAAUGCCGUUGGAACAUCCAUUAUGAAAGCUUCAAUUGUUGUUUACAACAGUAGGAACUUGCUAAACAUUAAAUUUGCAGUGCUUUGGAAGCAUUUUUCUAACCAGAACUUUUUUCCAUUAAGAACAUAAAUACAACAAAUGCCGUGCAUUGCGUUGAAGCAGAAUCAACGUAAAUCAGAUGUGCCAUCAAAUGGAAAAUGCAAACUGCCAUAGAAACAACUUCUCUAUUCCUUUGCGGUCAAACACCAGCACAACAAAGGGAGUCUUGGAUUGUGGAAUAAAAAGCAAUAUCUGGCCAUUUUUUAGAUCAUGAUCAAUAACAAAACGGUUCCAGUUUUGAUCAAAACAUCUGCCGGUCAUACCAACAUGAUAAUAUUUAUGACUAUUUGUAAGAGUUAUAGUCGUCGUACUAUCUUCAUUUAGCCUUAGAUUCGCAAAUUCUGGUAGAUCCUAUAAAUGUAUGAAAAAAAAUUGUGAUAAGUAAAUACACAUAUGUACAAAAGAAAGAGAGUUAAUAAGGUUAGAGAAUGCAAAACUAUACCAGCUUGUACUUGUACUUUGAUAGAUAAAAUUGAUAGAAGCAAUUGAAUGUAGUCCAGUCAUGUUUUAGGAAUGGAUUCAUAGAUGAGACAAUACGAUGGAGAACUGAUUCUGAGAUUUCAUGAUCUGUUUAUAAAGUAACAAAAGAAACCAUAUCAGCCAUAAUAAAUACCGUCUAAGCAAAAAAUAUAUAUAUAAUGGUAGUAAUAAAUACCGGAUUCUAGGACCUCAUGAAUUGUCCUUAGUCCUUGUAAGGAAGUAAUGGUAGUAAAACAAUCCUUUCAUCACGGCUGUUGCUCUUGUCUUCUCAGCGAAUUUUCGUCUUUGGAGGCCAGAGAAGCUUGAAAUACACAAAGUGAAAUUCAAUAAGACAUUUCACACUAAAAAUGACAUUAGUUGUUUUGUAUAUAAGAAUGACAUUAAUUGUUUUGUAUAUAAGAAGUCAUUUUGUUUUAGACACAUUAACAAUUAUGAUAUACCCAACAUUUUUAUAGGUUAUUAUACCAACGUCAUAAAAAGAAAACCAAGACCUAAAUUGUGGAACUGAUUAUAAAUUAAUUACUGUGGAAAGUAUAUUUAAACUAUUAAUCUAAUCUAGGAUGAACACAAAAAAAUGAAUAAGUAAUGUGCAAAAAAAAGGUGGUCAAAGAAUUUAACUUAUUUCAGAAAUAAUGAACCAAAUAAAGAAUCAAUCUUAGGAAAGCUGUAUGGUCUCGUCUUACAUUAAUUUCAACUUUGUUCUCUAUAUGAUUUCUUGAUUCUUUACCCCAAAGUCUUUUUCUCCCAUCAAGAAUGCUUCAGAAAUUAUAUGAUCAAUACAUACCUAGCUAUUACAGAAUGGCAACAAACUGAAAUGGCAACAACCUAGCUAUUACAGAAUUUCUGUGCUUGAGUCCUCUAACAACUAUAACUACAUAAUACACAUUAACUAAAAAACAUCCAAUGAAACUGCACUCAUAAUCAAACGACAAUGCCUAACAUAGGACAGCAGAUUCCUUCCUCUUUACUGCUUGGCCACAUGAGCAGUCAGUUCAGAAUUCUGCAGCAAAAAAUUAGAAGCAUUCAAAAUCAUUCAAAAUAACCAAUGAAUUCCUAGUCUGCACACACUAUUUAUUCAGUCAAAAGCAUUCAAAAUCAUUCAAGAAGAAUAAGUGUAAUCAUUCAAAACAGCACUCACACAAGUAACUUAUGAAGAUGCCUUUAUACACAACACACCGAAGCAAAAGUAACAUCUCGCAGAAAGAACCAAACACAGAAGAACAUCAUUUACAGGAUAUAAAACAGCAUUUGUCAAAGUCUGAAACAAAAAGAAGUCUCUAAUACAAUUCAUCUUGCUUUAGCAUUCCAAUUGAUCACUUUCAGAAAAAUGAGCUAAAGUAAUAAAUUUCCACGAACAAUAGAAUAAGUUAGUAUAACAAAGAAAUCAUAAUCUCAAAUUCAGAGGCAAAAAACAAAAAAAAAAAAAAAGAACCCUUGUUUUGACAAAUAUAACAAGUAUGAUAAAAAACUGACAAAUGUUGUCAUGGAGCGGAAGACAUUUCAAAUUCAAUUAAGGAAAAAUAACUGGUACAGCCUUUUUUUAUUGUUUCCAUCCCACACAUCAACAUAACCAUCACAACCUCAAGUAGCAAAUGUACCAUAGCUACAAAUCAAAAUCAGUUUUGAGACAGAUUUUGGCAAAAAGCUCAAGGUAUUCAAUCAAUAGAUAAUUGUAAUAGAUCCAACUCAAUCACUCAAUAUAUCUAGAGUUGAUAAAUCAAGCACAUAGGCUUAUAAAUCAUUCAUGGAUACAUUGACAUUAUAAAUCAUUCUCUUUUGUUUGUUCCAUUCCAACUCAAUCAUUGACAUAGCUACCUUAAGAAUACAUGGAUCGGCUCCACUUAUCAAGUUCAAAAAAACAGAUGUUUCCUAAAGACGCAUAGUUAUGAUGAGAAGCUUGAAGGUCGUGAUUGCCUGGGGAAUAUCUAGAGUUGAAAAUUGGAAAUCAGGAAAGAUAAAUUCAGGUUCGAUCGCUUAUUCGUAAGCUGUUAAAGUUUUGAACUGUCCCCAUAAUUGAUUGUUUUUGCCUUGUUUCUGCAAUUAUCUCUCAUAUUUGUUUACAGUAAGCACCAUCACAUCAAGUAAAGAACACUUCUCUUGCACCCUAUAUCAAUCUAACAUGAUUCCAUCUGGUACUGAGACUACCAAAACCCAAGCUCGUAGCCCAAAGAACCUACAACACUUUGUUCACCAUAGCUGAAGACAUACUUGGAACAACUAAGGUACCAUAUACUUUCUUUUUUUUUUCAGUGCAUAGGCAGACACAAACAUAUAUAGUUAUAAUAAAUCACACACACCUCAAACAAAAAAGAAAUGAAUUCUUUCAUAUCUUGAUAAACACUUCAAAUGUAUACUAAUCCUAUGAACAACCAAGUAAAAUGACAUUGAUAUGGUAUGAAGAGACAUACACAUCAGCUUGCAUGUACACUUCAGAACCAAGAUUGAUCAAUGUCCUCAGACUGGUUACACUAUUUUCUCCAAUGUCUCUAUAUUUCUUUUCCAAUCAGAGCUACAAGAAGUUAAGAGAAAAAAAAAGUAAAGAAGCAUUGCAGGUCAAAGGGAACUUGUGCAAAGAAAUAGGAGUCAGAGCAAUAAAGGUGAGUAGUAUCAAUACCCAAAUGCAAGAAAACUUAGAAGGAUACAAAACUUUCUGUUGUUCAAAUACCUCGUUCCUGCAAAAGAGAUACCCAGAAUAUUAGAAAUUUGGCAUAUAACAGAAAUUCCGUCUCCAAAUUCGCAACUUAAUAGUGAAAUAUUAAACAUAAAGUAGGUAAGUACUCCAACUCAUAUAAUCCCACUACUGAUGGUAAUAAGCUCAAUAAAGUGGUAACAGGGGAUGGUUCUCCAAAUAACAACUGUAAGCGGGUGAGUUCAGUAUGAGGCAACCAACGGAUUCCCACCCACACCUCCCCGUCUCAAGAAAAUAGAAAAGGGCAAAAAAGGGCGAAAAAAAAUAGAAGGAAAAGAAAAAAGAAAGAAAAGGAAAUGAAUAUUGGCAAUAUGGGAGUCAAAUGAAGCAAAGUCUAAUCUAUUUAUACACAAAAAAGGAUCACUCUCUUCCAGUUUCAGAUCGUUAGUUUUCACUACUACAGGAAGUUCAGCUACCGCCCGCUAGAAGCAAAAAAAAAAAAAUUUUAAAGACAUCGAGUGAGAGAAUUGGGCUCCAAAACACCCUUCCGUACAAUGAUACAAAGAUGGAAAAAGGACAAAAGAAAAUGAAGAAAGUUACGGGUAAUAACCAGAAAUUAGCUAAUUCAAAGUCCUCCCAAACUGUUCAAUAUAUUUCUUAUCUGCAUUGGCUAGGCGAUCUUGAAACUGCACCCACUCACUUCUGCACCUCUCUCUUACCUACCAAAUUAGAUAGAAAAGAAUUCAAGCUAGUUACUUGACGUUUGGACAAAUCUAAUGAAAUUCAGUUCAAUGCAAAAUCAUGCAAUUCAAACAGAGUGCAGAUAUAAGACCUAUGAAUCCUAAUUUAAACAUGAUUGUUAGAAUGUAGGUGAUAUAGAAUAACUCAGAUUACCAUAAAAUUGGAUGAAGAAGCUUUCAGAGUUGACUUUUGCAAAAAAAACGAAGGACAAAGAAAAGGCCUCAAUAAAAAAAUAUACAGAAAGGUUGAAAUGGAAACCGAACAAGUAACAGCUUACAUACCCCUUGCCAAGGAGCUUUUCCAUUUUCAGAUUGACCCUGGAAUCAACGAAGCUGAAGCUGUUAGCAUCAUUAUCAACAAAACAAAUCUAAAUGAGGGGAAACCAGAUCAAGGGACAAGUAGGAUAAUUGACGUGGAAGAAAAAAAUGUAAAUAAGGGGGUUGCUGCUAAAAAGUUGCUUAUUUUAUAAAUGAAGAACCAUUUGCUCAAAAAUGGAAAUUAAAGUUGAACAGAACAACAUUUGCAAACAACUAAACUUCAUUAUUUUAAUCACCUCUAGGAAAAGGAAAAGCAAGUCCCGAUGGUUGUAAUAAAGUAGUUAACUGACCUGACUUCCCAGAGAAGGAAUAACUUGAUGAACUAUCCACUGAGAGUCAACCACAUCAAUUUUCUCAUGUGCAGGCUACACAGGCAAAAUACACUUACAAUGAAACUGAUAAUACGCAGACAUCCAUUUGAAAUACAUACAUGUUUUCCAAUUUUAUCUGUUUUACAUGCCACUGUCCCGCAGAUCUCUCCUUCCAACAGGAAUAUGAAAAGCAGGUAGACAAGCCUUCUUUUCUAAAUCUUUCAAAUAAUACAGUGAUAAGAAACAAAUAAAACCACUGACCUCCACACAUCUCCUUAGUGCAAAAUCCAAUCCCCAACCAUGCACCAAAUCAUUCUAGAAAUGUUAUUGAAAGUAAAAAAUCAGCGUGAGCUCUAAGCUGGAAAGAACCAAGGCUAAUGAGAGCAGCUAAAAGCAAAAAUAGUUGGAGGUACAACAAGGCUUAAAACAUACGUAUACAAAUGACAAAGUUAGAGAAGGGAACCUGAAUCAUAUGCCAAACACAUCGCCAAGCAUCCCGCGAGAAAACAGGAGCCACAAUUUCCACAAAGCUGAAUUCAAAAAGGAAAAACACAAGGAAAAUUAGUUGAAGGUAAAUGUUGAAGCCACCCCAAUCCUUUAUACUUUUCUUAACUAUAUAUCUCCAUUUUAAGGGCCUGAGCAUAAAUCAUGGGUCAUAACUCAACCUACAAACACUACCAUAAAAUCAAAUUUUUCAACAAUAAGACGUGAUAUUGCUAUGAGAUGUCUUGUAGCUAAGCUCUUCUUUUUGGCAAUGGUCAACCUGAUGAAGAAAUAUGACCAUCAGAGAAAGUGAGCUUCUUGUUUCUGGCAAUUUCAACUUUCAAGCCAUGUAAAUAAACAAUAGUUUCCCAAGACAACAUUUUUGUUGUUUUUCAGUUUAAUAUUAUUAUUUUCUUGGGUUAAAGAGAUUGACCUUCGGAAAACCAAACAAUCAAUCUCUGGAAAAUUUAAAUCUUUGGAAAACCAAACAAUCACUCGGAAGAGAAAAAAACAAAUCCUUUUCAGGUUUGGAUUAUAAGAAAAUAAAAACAAGAAAAACAAACUGCAUGGCUCCCAAAUUGCCAUUCAGUCAAUCAAAAGAACAAUGUAUCAGUUCAAAACUACAAAAUUCAAUCUAUUAUGAUAAGUGAACCCUGCUCAAUUACAAUACAAUCUCAUCUCAUACUACCUGGGGUCAGUAACUUGCUAUCAUCUUCUUUCCCGCAGGUGUCUCUAAUAUCAGAAAAUAAUGUUUCUUCCAUUUAUCUCCUUUUUGAAUGCGAAGAAUUAGCAUAAAAGUCCUUAAAAAGUUAUUCAUAAAGAGGUUAACAUAUUUAGUUAACUCUACACUCAUGACUGUAAGCGUUGGUAGAUUUAUUAGUUUCAGAUACUAAAUGAUCCUCAGAUAUCCAUUAAAUAUAGAAGAGAUAAAAAUUCAGACAAAGCCAGCAAUUCUAAAGCCCAAACUGCUAGCCGAAAAAUCGUGGAAUUUUACACAAAUUAUACCAAAACCUCCAAUUCUCUUAGCUAAAUAUAAUAAAUUACCAAAAUUUACGAAACCCACAAUGGGUAUUAGGGCAAAAUAAUUCCCAAGGUCGGUUUUUUUCUUGAAGUGGUUCGAUUAUUAAAGAGGGGAAACAACGAAAGAGAACAAGAUUUCCUAAUGUUGUGCACCAAUUAAGGACGAUAUACUACUACUCCGUUGAAAUGUAGAUAGAAAUUCAGAUUAAUUGAAACAAAAGAAAAAAGAGCGCGAAAGAGAGAGAUUGAGAUAUUGAGAGAAGGAAGAAAGUUGAAGAAAAUAUACCUCCGGUUGCAAGGUUAUUCUCGGUCUGAAGAACCGCGAUACUCUGCAUCUUGGACGCCAUCGUACCUUCUCUUCUAUCUAUCUCCCUGAGAUUAGCUUUCCUUUUUCAGUUCAGAAACUUCUACUGCGGAUUCCGUCUGUAAGUAGUAGAGAGCUACAUUAGAAGAUGUGGCUGGAAUUUGAUGAUGGGGAGGAGAGGGAAAGACAAGUAAAGAGGGGCAGCCAAACAAACGGCUUCCAGAGUCCAAAUCCCAGCUACCAAAGAAAUCACAAACCAGUCUCCUAAAAGCAAUGAAAAAAAUGCUUGCACAACAAAACACAAGAACCAUUAGCAUCAAACAAGUUUUUACAGAGGAGGAGAAAAACAUGAAUACAGAGCAACCUGAAGAGAAGACCCGACCUCACUGGAGAGAAAGAAGAAAGCACAAGAUCUGCAACCAACAGUGAAGAUGGCACGUCCUUGGGCGGUAACAAGCCCGUGGAUGAGAAAAAAAAGAGAAAACUGCACGUCAGUGGACAAGGGACAAAAGAAAUACGAACUUUAGCCAAAAAAAAAAAAACAAAAAAAACAAAAAGAGGGGCAGACCAGAGGUAACCCGAAGAGAAGAUCUGACCUCACCGGAGAUGAAGAAGAAAGCCUAUUACAACAAAACAAAGGAGGAGGUCAACAAAAUUUUGUACCAGGUUCCAGAGGAUGCGGAUAAGUGAUAGAGCAACAUUAUCCCAAAAAAAACCAAAAAAAGAAAGAAAGAGAAUGUAAUGGGAGAGAGAAUGCAGCGGGAAGAGAGCAAAUGCAGCAGAAGAUCAGAAAGACGGAAGCACGGGCACAUGGGACACUGGCAGGCGAGGCC